CGCUUCUUAUUUCCCCUACUUUACAAAAAACGCUCCCAGCCUCUGUCUCUCAAAACUCACGCACAUCACCACCACCACUCUCACCGCCCCAUCCCACCAGCUACAACGAAGUAUGUUUCAUUCCCAUGAAGCGUUGGCUUGUGUGGAUAUUCUCCACUGUGAUACCAUUAUGCAGGAAAAUGAUUUAAAGUGGAGUACUGAGUAGCUUAGUGCAAUGUUGGAUUGAUUGGAACAUGAGUUGCAGGAAACGAAUUCUUUCUUUAUUUGUCUUGGAGUACAAACUGAAAAGAGUUACUUGAAAUGUACUCUCACACAAAAGGCUUCAAGUUAACAUGGAACAAUUCAAGGAGAAGCGGAAGAUCUUCUCCUUAUGCACUAGCUCAACGACAUCAUCUUUUCAGGGAGUUCUCCAAACUUUUGCUUUAAUUAUAUAGUUACAUUGAGGACAAUGCAACAUUUUUAGUUGGGGGGAGAUACUUCAUUUUGAUAGAUAUUCUUGUGAUGGGGUGUGAUAGGUCAUGAUGGAUGAUAAUUUGGUAGAUUGACUUUAUUUUUUUUAUUUUUUAUAUUAGUAUAAUCUUUUUUUUAUUUUUUUUAUUUUUUUAUUUUAACGACUAGCUUCUUUAGUUUUUGUUAGGAGUAGAAAUGGUGUUGGGAUGUGAUUUUUUGCCCCUUGGCUAAUUUUUGGCUUGCUUGGUACCAACACAUUUAAACCUUGGCAUAUAAAUUCUAAAAAAAAGAAAAAUGAUUGAAGUAAGGAUUCUUGUUGUGACUUUUAGAUUCAAUGUUUGGCUCUUUUGUUUCACUAAAUGGUCUCUUUAGACUAUAAGUGACUUUCUUUGAGUUCAUUUGUUUCAAUUGGAUUUUGAAUACAUAUUUCACGUGAUUUUUCAUGUGCCAUGUGUGGUGAGGUUAUUUGUGAGUUCUUUUGCAUUACUUGUGGUCUAGAACUUGCUCGGAAUGUGUUUCAAGGCGAAAUCUUAGACUAACUUGGUUUGAAAAAUGAUGUUAGGCCUUCCUUGGACCGUUUUUGUGCCUUAAAUUUCCUACCCUUGUAUAUUUUCCCUAGUCAACCCUUUUUUAGCCUUUAACCUUUUCUUUGACAACUAUGUUACAAGUUUUACCCCCUUCUUCAUUGAUCCAUCUUUUGGAACCCUACCUCCUUAAGUGCGUUGAAAGUACAAACAUAGGCUAAAAGCCUAAGUUUGGGGGUCAUGGUUGGAAAAUGUUGUUAUGUGGGAGUUACUUUAAAGGUGAAAAGGUGAAAGAAAAAAAAUGAAAACUUCCUUGUAAUUUUGAAAAAGAAAAAAAAAAGAGAAAAAGAAAAAGGAAUGAAUAAUAAGAGUUGUGAAUAAAGGGAAGACUAGGUGGUGAAAUGAAAAAUGAAGAAAGGGGUGGAAAAGUUUCAAAGGAAGUCUUCUUUGAGUGUUUAAAAUUGUAGUGCUUAGGGAGGUUUUGAGUCACUUUUACCCAAAUUGUGCCUUAUCUUAACCAAAAGCCCUACAUUAUAAUCCUUUAAGUCCUAAUUGAUUUUGAACCAAGUGUGUCUACAUUAGUGGAGAAAUACAUGAAGGGCAAGCUUAUGGUACUAUUUGUGUGCAUGUGAACAUCUUUGUGAGAGAGAGAAUUAAUUCUUUCUAUUUGAUAUCCCAUUUGUGUUUUGAAUUACAUUUUCUAAGUGUGGGAUUCUCUCUUAAGUGUGAGGGCACAUGAGAAUUUAAGUUGUGAAUUUGUUUCAUUUUCCAAUUGAGAGGAACGAACAAAAGAAAGUUGUUUUGCGAUAAUGGGGUAAAUUUUGAAGCUUUAGUAUCAUGACUUGAUUGCUUCUUUGAUUAACUUGGUGUUUGAGCACUUGAAAUGAAAAUGAAGUUUUGAGAAGAAGUUGGUGAUUCAUAUGUUUUGGAUUAAUUGGCGGUACCAAUCAGAGUCGUGUUUGUGCUUAAAGUAGACUUUUUGACUUGAUAUGAUGUUAGUGCACUAUUGAGUCGAUUCCUUAGAAGGAGAUUGUAUGUUUUGAAUUGCUUGAGGACAAACAAUAGUUUAACUUUGGGGGUUUGAUAAGUUGGUAUUUUACCAACUUAUCUCUUCUUUUAUGCUUAGAUUUUUGUUAUGUUUGAUUGAAAAAAUAGUGCAUUUCCUAUGCUUUGCUUCAAUUUUAUAGGUUUAUAUGGUUGAGAAGAGUAUUGGAAGAAGCCAAGUGAAAACAAGUCAAAAAGGAGCUAAAAUGAAGAAAAUGAGAAAAUUGGCUAAAAGUGCAAAAAAUGGCUGGAAAUGCAAAUCAGAAAUUUAAAAGUUGGGGCUAUUUUCGUCAUAUUUUUAAUUGGAAAAUUGGGGAGCUACAAAAUAGAGACUUGGGGCAUAUUAUUUUCAUCUUUGCCCAUCUUCCAAGCUUGGAGCAAGAAAUUACACUAGGGUUUGAAGAUUUGGAGACACACAAUGAGAAAUUCUUUACCCAUUUUUUCAACUCUUGCUUUGUAAUUUAUAUAUAAGUGUGUAGCAUUUUAUUCCAUCACUUUGAUCUCGUUUUUGGACAUCUUAAUUUGCAAAGUUGGAUUAUAUAUCUUGUUAUACUUAUGUAUUGGAUGAUUUUUAUUUCUAAUGAAAUGGGUUAGUGUUUCUCUA